rnacentral:rRNA from 1 species
UACGGGGGGGGCAAGCGUUGUUCGGAAUUACUGGGCGUAAAGGGCGCGUAGGCGGCCGCCUAAGUCAGACGUGAAAUCCCUCGGCUCAACCGGGGAACUGCGUCUGAUACUGGGUGGCUUGAAUCCAGGAGAGGGAUGCGGAAUUCCAGGUGUAGCGGUGAAAUGCGUAGAUAUCUGGAGGAACACCGGUGGCGAAGGCGGCAUCCUGGACCGGCAUUGACGCUGAGGCGCGAAAGCCAGGGGAGCAAACGGG